rfam:Parcubacteria (Campbellbacteria) bacterium GW2011_GWC1_35_31 TR76_C0002, whole genome shotgun sequence.
GCCGAGGUGGCGAAAUUGGUAGACGCACUAGCCUUAGGAGCUAGCGGGGCAACCCAUGGAGGUUCAAGUCCUCUCCUCGGCA